ensembl:lncRNA
GAAGCAGGAGGUGAAGGGAUGCAAACAUAUCCUGACCUAGUUCGACUUGACAGAGUUGAGGGUUGUUUUGGGAUAUUCUGAGCAGGCUGACGGGUGAUGGGAAACUCUAUCAGACAGUUUACGUAGUGGGGAGAUCGUCAGCGUGAGCUUCCAGCGAAAGCACGAGGAUGAGCCGGCUCCGCUCGAUGCCGUUCGGGAAUUCUGCAUGGUAAUGUGCUUCCCGUCAGACCACGUGAUGCUGCCUGAGGGAAUGUGGCGCUGUGUGAGGUGGACUUGUGAGGAAGCACAAUGCCACACAGGGACAGAUGGCCUGAGUCAAGGGCCAAAACAGGAGAGCACAGAGAGGGUGAGAGGGAGGCAAAAAGAGAGCCGGAGAGACGAGAGACACGAGAGGGGAGGACAGUUAAAGAUGAAAAGAAAAGAGGAGAGCAAACGGGGGAGGAGGGUGUAAUUACUGUGCCGUUAAACUGCAAGAAACAUCUAUGAACAUGAGGGAGCCGCCUCCUCUAAGCCCUUCAUGAUCAGAAAGGCUGAUUGUGUAACUACUGUUGCAGCUCAUUUCGAAGCUAGGAUUACAGACAACAGGAUUAAGUGAAACAGACCAGCUCCACAGUGGAGCUCUUUAGGAACGGGAGAAGCACGAAAAAACAUCAGAGAUCCAAAAAGCAGCAUGAGAAGCCCAGAAAGUGUCUGAAGUGGACACCUUCAAGCACCAACAACAGCACACGUGAGAGUAACACACAGAACGGUCGUUUGUGACACAGUAGUCGACGGUCCAUGUAGGCAACGACCCCAGAGUGAGUGUAUGAAGACCCCUCUUACAAGAAAAGAGCCAAAGCUUGAGUUUCGAAAGCUAAAACCAGUUGAGCAGACUUGCUUCACGGCCACAGUGCAGUCAGUGUUUCCUGUGAUGCACUCAUUGGUCAUCUUUGUAAUAAAACCUAAAGACUAAAAGAAAGAGUAGCGUGUGCCUUCAUUAGCACAGGGAUUUGUGUCACGGUGUGGCUGUAAUGUUAGUUUUAUACUGUUUAUUUGGUAAUUAUAUAACUUUUACUCUCUUUAAGGAGGCAAUGCAUUACUUUUUUAAAGUAAUACAACACAGCUCUUUAAAUAAAGUUUUUAACUCUUUU